rnacentral:rRNA from 1 species
UAAGACGAACCGUGCGAACGUUAUUCGGAAUCAUUGGGCUUAAAGGGCGCGUAGGCGGCGGUGUAAGUUGGAAGUGAAAUCCCAUCGGCUCAACCGUGGAAUUGCUCCCAGUACUGCAUCGCUCGAGGGGGAUAGGGGUCUGCGGAACUACCGGUGGAGCGGUGAAAUGUGUUGAUAUCGGUGGGAACGCCAGUGGCGAAAGCGGCAGACUGGACCCUUCCUGACGCUGAUGCGCGAAAGCUAGGGGAGCAAACGGGAUUAGAUACCCCGGUAGUCCUAGCCUUAAACGUUGGGUACUGAGUAGAAAGGGGACCGAUACCCCCUUCUGCUGGAGCGAAAGUGUUAAGUACCCCGCCUGGGGAGUAUGGUCGCAAGGCU